AAUCGAUGCCCGACCACGGGCCCGAGGGGCCCUUACCCGGCAGGUGGGCGGCCGCGGCUCACCACCCCCCGGCUGGUCCCCAGCCCGCGCCGAGUACCCCCGAGUGCCCUUCUCUCCGGGCGCGGGCAGGACGCAGGAGCAGGCGGAGUCGGUGAGGCCCGACGGCUUUAUUGGUUCAGGGCCCAGUCCCGUCCCCUCGCCCGCGGACGCCCGGGUCCGCGGCGCUCAGCGGCUGUCACGGGGGCGGCGCAGCUGCCCCAUCAUGUCGGCCAGCAUGCGGUUGCACAGCGCGGCGUAGGGGUUGAGCAGCACCAGCUGGCGCCGCGCGAAGGGGCUGCCCAGCCGUGCCGCCCUCUCGAAGUCCCUGCGGGCGUCGUCGUCUCGGCCCUGCAGCCGCGCCAGGAGUCCGCGCUGCACAAAGCUCUGGCGGGCGGCGCGGCCCCGGCCGCCGCUCAGCUCCACCGCGCGUUCCAGAUCCUCCAGGGCGCCUGCGGGACCGACGAGACGGGCGGGGCGGGGGUCAGCGGAGGCCAGGGCGGCCUUGCCCGAGCCCCAGCCCACCUGCGGCCGCGCGGAUCACCGUGGUUCUUGCGGCUCCCGGGCGUGGCCAUUUACAACCCGCCUCGCACCUGCUAGAGAAAAGACCCCGGCCAUGGAUGGGAGACCUAGGACAAAGAUGGAAAAGAGAAUCAACUCUGCCUUAGGCGAACAAUUUACCAUAAUAUUCUGAGACAGGAGUGGAAUAACACCUCCAGCCAUUACCUGCAAAUGAGAGCUGCUUUAGGCGGGCAUUUGAUCGAGCUUCCUGGACUUUAUCUGUCAAUGACUUCCAGGCAUCUGAAAGGAAAUAAAGAAAACCCGUAAGCCAGAAAAUAUG
rnacentral:lncRNA from 1 species